AGUCAUCUUGGACCAAAACUGUCAUGAACAAAAAUUCUCACCAUUGUGCUGCAUUGCAAAGAUGACUACAGUAAGCAAGUUAAUCUAAGUGCUUGUGCUCCACAUCGUGCUUCACUAUGGAUACCAGAUGAACAUGAUCAUUACUGGAAAUAACCCUUCUAACAGCAUCUUCAUUACAGGCAUCUACCAACAGAGACACAGAUCAUUCAUUGCUUCUCUGAAUGAUGCAAGAGUUGCAAAAGCAUUAAAUGGGACAAAAUAUCACCCAGAGAAAUGUAAAAAUUAUUUCACACAUAUACAAAAAUAGAGUUGGCGAUCGAGUUUCCUAAGGCCGUGGUAAAAGACAGCAACUGGAUUUUUG